rnacentral:rRNA from 1 species
AGCAGCCGCGGUAAUUCCAGCUCCAAUAGCGUAUAUUAAAGUUGUUGUGGUUAAAAAGCUCGUAGUUGAACCUUGGGCCUGGCUGGCCGGUCCGCCUCACCGCGUGUACUGGUAUGAUUGGUUUCUCCUUUCUGACGAACCAUGAUGUCAUUAAUUUGGUGUUAUGGGAAGUUAGGACUGUUACUUUGAAAAAAU